AGAGACAGCAGUAGCCGCGGGAAUACGAAGGGUGCAAGCGUUAAUCGGAAUUACUGGGCGUAAAGCGUGCGUAGGCGGUGAGUUAAGUCUGCUGUGAAAUCCUCGGGCUCAACCUGGGAAUGGCAGUGGAUACUGGCUCGCUAGAGUGUGUCAGAGGAAGGUGGAAUUCCCGGUGUAGCGGUGAAAUGCGUAGAGAUCGGGAGGAACAUCAGUGGCGAAGGCGGCCAUCUGGGACAACACUGACGCUGAGGCACGAAAGCGUGGGGAGCAAACAGGAUUAGAUACCCGCGUAGUCCCUGUCUCUUAUAC
rnacentral:rRNA from 1 species